GACGAACGCUGGCGGCGUGCUUAACACAUGCAAGUCGAACGGAAAGGCCCUGCUUUUGUGGGGUGCUCGAGUGGCGAACGGGUGAGUAACACGUGAGUAACCUGCCCUUGACUUUGGGAUAACUUCAGGAAACUGGGGCUAAUACCGGAUAGGAGCUCCUGCUGCAUGGUGGGGGUUGGAAAGUUUCGGCGGUUGGGGAUGGACUCGCGGCUUAUCAGCUUGUUGGUGGGGUAGUGGCUUACCAAGGCUUUGACGGGUAGCCGGCCUGAGAGGGUGACCGGCCACAUUGGGACUGAGAUACGGCCCAGACUCCUACGGGAGGCAGCAGUGGGGAGUAUUGCACAAUGGGCGGAAGCCUGAUGCAGCAACGCCGCGUGCGGGAUGACGGCCUUCGGGUUGUAAACCGCUUUCGCCUGUGACGAAGCGUGAGUGACGGUAAUGGGUAAAGAAGCACCGGCUAACUACGUGC
rnacentral:rRNA from 1 species